AUGGAGCUGGGAUUUUCUCUUUUUCUUGUCAGUAACUGCAGGUGUGUCCACUCACAGGUCCAGCUGCAGCAGUCUGGAGCUGAGCUGGUGAAGCCUGGGUCUUCAGUGAAACUGUCCUGCAAGGCUUCUGGAUACAACUUCACUGACUAUGCUAUGCAGUGGGUAAAGCAGAGGCCUGGACAAAGCCUGGAAUGGAUUGCAGGUAUUGUUCCUGGAACUGGAGAUACUCUCUACAAUGAGAAGUUUAAGGGCAAGGCCACACUGACUGCAAAUACUUCUGCCAACACAGCCUACAUGGAACUCAGCAGAUUGACAUCUGAGGACUCUGCAGUCUAUUACUGUGCACAGUGUUGUAACCACAUCCUGAAUGUGUCAGAAACCCUGGAGGUGCAGGAGGCUUCCAUGGGACUGAGGUGA